rnacentral:lncRNA from 1 species
CUUGGGUUCUCAUCCAUCACUCCGUCAAGUCCCAGGUCAUAGAGGUUACUUCCUCUUCUGGGUCAUGAUGAGGCUUCACUCUACUCUGGGCACUUGGCUCUUCACACUCCUAGUGAUGCUAGUCUACUGCCAGAGUGGUGAUGAUGGAGAGUGGGGAUCAGGUGACGUCUCUGGGACUGUGGUCACUGGCAAUUCCUCCAAUUCAGUCUUCCAUGCAGUCGGGGAUGAGCCAGACAGGACCAGGCCAAUUUUUCAGACCCUGGCGGAGACAGAAGGUGGCGACUGUUAUGUCAACUUCCACACCAGCCAAGUCAUGUCAAGACGGUUACGAGCUUUCAGAGAGGAAGUUGCUUAUCUAAAGGCCCUUCAACAUGGGAACCAGGCAGUGAUGGAGAAUCUGGUCCAGUUUGUAGGAGCAGAAAUGGGAGAUCAACGCUACGAGGAGGUGAUCCAAGAGAACAUUGUUGGAAUCAGGGAGGAUCAUGUGAGCUGUGAGAGCGUGGUCACAAAAGCAGCAGAGGAGUUGGAGAGUCAACUGGAGGGAGAUGCUCAAGCCACUUUUGCUGGAAUUCAGAAAAUAAAAGAGGAGUCCCUUGCCUUUGAAGAAAUUCUGCGUACCACGACAGACAUCGCCACUCGACUGGAGAGCUCCUCACGAGCCCUGCAUGUGGAGAUGAUCGAACAGCUGAGGAAGAACAUGAGACAGCCGCGCAAAACUAAAUGACUCCUUGGGAAGCCAUCCAGCAUGGAAAAACUGAUAAAAGUAUUAUAUGGCAUGUCACAUCUAUAUUUAUCCACAGUUUUUUAAUAACAGUAAAACAAUGUUGUCACCUUAAACAGUCCAUAUGUGGACCAUUUGACUUAAUUUUAUCUCCCUUGCCUACUAUGUUUUGGGAAAGGGCACUGUUGUCAGAGAAUAGACUGAAACGCCAACUAUAUUUUUCUCUCUUGUCCGAUGUUCAUUUAUGAGCCAUAUUGAACAUAUAAUGGCUAUGUGUACAAGGAAACAUGAUCAUGAUGAAACAUGAUGAAAAAAUGAUCUUGGCAGUGAAGGUGAUAUCUUAAAAGAAUAUUUUCUUUCCAAGUACAGACAACCCCGCAGCUAUGGUCUGGCUGUCUUGGCGCUAGGGAGCAGAUGGUGAAAAGACUGUAUGAGGGUCUGGAAAUCAGCAAGCAUGAACUCACAUACAUUGGAGAGAGAGAGAGAGCAAGAUGGAAAAACAAAAAAGAAAGGGAAAAAAAGACAUGGCAGUGAUGUCACUGAGGAAUAAAUAAAAACGUGACUUGGCAGCUUGGAGCCAGAAUCUAAAAAAUCAGAACAAGGAAGUAGAAACUUUGCGACU